rnacentral:lncRNA from 1 species
GGGAGACAGAGAAGAUGGGGGACCCCAGGCAGCAGGGGGAGACUCCCUGUGGAGAGGAGGGAAGGUUUCCUCAAGCUGUGACAAACCGGGAAGUAGGGGGCAGGCCAGCAGUCUCCCGGGAGCAGAACCAGCGAGGAUGAGCAUGAGGUCCCCUCUGCGGAGCGCAGCCACACUCCCUCCUGCCAGCCCACGCGGAGGCCUCUGAGCAAAGCUGCAAAGCCAUCUGCUUCUCCCUCUCCCGCUCCCCCAUCCUUACCUCCUGCCUCCAGAAUCAGAGCGUUCCUACUCUGCCUGCGGUGUAGAGGCUCCCUGACAUCACCUCCUGAGCUCUUUCUUCCUCAGGCCUCCAAGACGCUUUAAACUCAAGCCUACAAGCCUGGCUUUCGAGACGAAAAGGUGAUCCCAACCCAUUCUUUAAAGGCAGCUGUCCUUUGGUUCAAUGGACUGGGACCAACAGGCUAUAGAUUUUCGAAGAUUGUACUUUAUUUGAAAAACACCUCAAAGAUGCUUUCUCCAUUACACAACAAGAAGUUUCACCGCACACUACGCAUCGCAAAAUGUAUAGUUUAACAGCCUGUCAAAGAAUGUGUAGCAUUAGUUUUAGCAAAAAUUCAUCUUUCACAUUGAUGAACAUUAAGUUGGCACAGCUCAGUAUGGGUCCCGCUAACACGGGCAGCUAACGUGGACCGUCUGAUCUGCAAGGAUUUUGC